rnacentral:rRNA from 1 species
GACGAAGGAUGCAAGCGUUAUCCGGAUUCAUUGGGCGUAAAGGGUGCGUAGGUGGCGCUGUAAGUCGGGUGUGAAAUUUCGGAGCUUAACUCCGAAACUGCAUUCGAUACUGCAGUGCUUGAGGACUGGAGAGGAGACUGGAAUUCAUGGUGUAGCAGUGAAAUGCGUAGAUAUCAAGUGGAACACCAGUGGCGAAGGCGAGUCCCUGGACAACUCCUGACACUGAGGCACGAAAGCUAGGGGAGCAAACAGG